CGAUAGUGAACCAGUACCGUGAGGGAAAGGCGAAAAGAACCCCGGCGAGGGGAGUGAAAAAGAACCUGAAACCGUGUACGUACAAGCAGUGGGAGCACAGAGCAAUCUGUGUGACUGCGUACCUUUUGUAUAAUGGGUCAGCGACUUAUAUUCUGUAGCAAGGUUAACCGAAUAGGGGAGCCGAAGGGAAACCGAGUCUUAACUGG
rnacentral:rRNA from 1 species